UACAGACGGCGCAAGCGUUAUCCGGAAUGAUUGGGCGUAAAGCGUCUGUAGGUGGUUCGCGAAGUCUACUGUCAAAUCCCAGGGCUCAACCUUGGACAGGCAGUGGAGAACUCGCGGACUAGAGUACGGUAGGGGUAGAGGGAAUUCCCGGUGAAGCAGUGAAAUGCACAGAGAUCGGGAAGAACACCAGGUGGCGAAGGCGCUCUACUAGGCCGUGACUGACACUGAGAGACGAUAGCUAGGGGAGCGAAUAGGAUUAGAAACCCCGUG
rnacentral:rRNA from 1 species